rnacentral:rRNA from 1 species
GGAUGCGAUCAUACCAGCACUAAAGCACCGGAUCCCAUCAGAACUCCGAAGUUAAGCGUGCAUGGGCGAGAGUAGUACUAGGAUGGGUGACCUCCUGGAAGUCCUCGUGUUGCAUUCC